rnacentral:tRNA from 1 species
AGGGUUGUAGUUAAUAUAUAACAUUUAAUUUGCAAUUAAAAAUAACUAAAAUUUAAGUCAUCCUUA